GACGAACGCUGGCGGCGUGCUUAACACAUGCAAGUCGAACGCUGAAGCUCAGCUUUUGUUGGGUGGAUGAGUGGCGAACGGGUGAGUAACACGUGAGUAACCUGCCUCCUUCUUUGGGAUAACGCCCGGAAACGGGUGCUAAUACUGGAUAUUCACUGGUCUUCGCAUGGGGGUUGGUGGAAAGGGUUUUUCUGGUGGGGGAUGGGCUCGCGGCCUAUCAGCUUGUUGGUGGGGUGAUGGCCUACCAAGGCUUUGACGGGUAGCCGGCCUGAGAGGGUGACCGGGCACAUUGGGACUGAGAUACGGCCCAGACUCCUACGGGAGGCAGCAGUGGGGAAUAUUGCACAAUGGGCGCAAGCCUGAUGCAGCGACGCCGCGUGAGGGAUGGAGGCCUUCGGGUUGUGAACCUCUUUCGCUCAUGGUCAAGCCGCAACAAUGGUUGUGGUGAGGGUAGUGGGUAAAGAAGCGCCGGCUAACUACGUG
rnacentral:rRNA from 1 species